GAUGGAUUAAAUUGUGAGGGGAAGAUUAAGAGGCACAAACUUCCAGUUAUAAAAUAAAUGUCAUGAGUAUGUAAUAUACAGCAAAAGGAAUAUGGUCAAUGACACUGCAAUAACUUUGUAUGGAGACAGAUGGUUACCAGACAUUAUGGUGAU